CAGAAGUCAGGUCGGAUUAAGCCAUAGUACGGAAAAAACUAUGCUACCUGUGAGCCCCGUCCAAGGACGUUAAAAGAAGUCAGGCCACUACAAGUGCCAUAGCUUGAGCAAACUAUGCAGCCUGUAGCUCCACCUGAGAAGGUGUAAAAAAUCUGGGAGGCCACAAACCAUGGAAGCUGUACGCAUGGCGUAGUGGACUAGCGGUUAGAGGAGACCCCUCCCUUACAAAUCGCAGCAACAAUGGGGGCCCAAGGUGAGAUGAAGCUGUAGUCUCACUGGAAGGACUAGAGGUUAGAGGAGACCCCCCCGAAAUA
rnacentral:lncRNA from 1 species